rnacentral:rRNA from 1 species
UACGGGGGGGGCAAGCGUUGUUCGGAAUUAUUGGGCGUAAAGGGCGCGUAGGCGGCCUGUUAAGUCGAACGUGAAAUCCCCGGGCUCAACCCGGGAACUGCGUCCGAUACUGGCAGGCUUGAAUCUGGCAGAGGGGGGUGGAAUUCCACGUGUAGCAGUGAAAUGCGUAGAGAUGUGGAGGAACACCGAUGGCGAAGGCAGCCCCCUGGGCUGAGAUUGACGCUGAGUGCACGAAAGCGUGGGGAGCAAACAGG